GAUGAACGCUAGCGGGAGGCCUAACACAUGCAAGCCGAGCGGUAUUUGUUCUUCGGAACAGAGAGAGCGGCGCACGGGUGCGGAACACGUGUGCAACCUGCCUUUAUCUGGGGGAUAGCCUUUCGAAAGGAAGAUUAAUACCCCAUAAUAUAUUGAGUGACAUCACUUGAUAUUGAAAACUCCGGUGGAUAGAGAUGGGCACGCGCAAGAUUAGAUAGUUGGUGAGGUAACGGCUCACCAAGUCAAUGAUCUUUAGGGGGCCUGAGAGGGUGAUCCCCCACACUGGUACUGAGACACGGACCAGACUCCUACGGGAGGCAGCAGUGAGGAAUAUUGGACAAUGGGUUAGCGCCUGAUCCAGCCAUCCCGCGUGAAGGACGACGGCCCUAUGGGUUGUAAACUUCUUUUGUAUAGGGAUAAACCUACUCUCGUGAGAGUAGCUGAAGGUACUAUACGAAUAAGCACCGGCUAACUCCGUG
rnacentral:rRNA from 1 species